GAUGAACGCUAGCUACAGGCCUAACACAUGCAAGUCGAGGGACCGGCGCACGGGUGAGUAACACGAAUCCAACCUGCCCUUGACUCGGGGAAAGCCUCUCGAAAGAAAGAUUAAUACCCGAUCUAAAGGACGGGGAUGCGUGUCAUGAGGGUGUUGGAGAGGUAACGGCUCACCAAGCCUUAGAGGGUGAGGGGUUCGGAGAGGAAGGUCCCCCACAUGGGAACUGAGACCCGGUCCAAACUGCGACGGUAGGCAGCAGUGAUGAAUAUUGUUCAAUGGGCGCUAGCCUGAACCAGCCAAGUAGCGUGAAGGAUGAAGGCUUAUGAGUCGUCAUCUUCUUUUAUGUAAGAAUCUUUAUUAGAUGAAUAAGGAUCGGCUAACUCCGUGCCAGCAGCCGCGGUAAUUC
rnacentral:rRNA from 1 species